GAUCGUACAGAGCCCCAAUGCAAUUCCCGUCAAUCCCCUUAUUUAGCGAACUGGCCAAAACGUGCCAAAAUGAGGAGCCAGUUCGGAAGUCCCGUGGAAGCCCCACAGAUGGGGCUCCCAUUGAAAUCAACAAGGAACCUAUCCUUAUUCUCUCCAUAUUAUUUCUGCCUGUGGGACCACACUUUCUGUGAAGGAAGUAAUGUUCAGGAACACAUCUACUUCAUCAGCUGAGUUCUUUCCCCACUCCUUUGGGACAACUGGCUACUUCUGCACAGAACGAGAUGGAUGCUUCUGACUUUCAAACUAACCACUAUCAG